rnacentral:lncRNA from 10 species
CGGGUAAACACUGAGAUCAUUCUGCUUGUAUGUGACAACGCACAUCCUGAAUAACCCUGUCUGUGUCACCCGUGUCUACUUUAAAUAGUAAACUCCUGUAAAGAAAGGAUCAGCCCGGUGUAACUUACUCUGUGAGCUGAGCCAUUAUAGAAGGCUUUUAAGCACUGCACUUGGAAGGAUAAGAGGCUCUCAGCAUCCUAUGAAUAGGUGAGAUGCCUAUUUGGGGGUUACAUCAAGCCUCACCUACAAAGCCAGGCAAAGAACACAGACUAGAACUCAGGCUCGGGCCUCGGUUCUGCCACUUAACCAGCCACGAGACCUCAGUGAUCAGGAUAGAACCAAUAAGCACCGCUGCAUGAAAACGGGUGUUUGAUGACCGGCAAGACUCAGAGAAGCAAGAGGUCUAAUCGUGCUGAACCAGCAAAUGAAGCCUUCAAUUUGGUAUUCUCAUCCUGCACAAGCACUUACUUAUGCAAACAGGCAUUCUCUGCAUUAGUAUUACUGACGUAAAAGAACCGAAACAGAUUAUAGAUCUGGACCUGAGGCUACAUCUUUCUAAUAUUAAAAACCCACAUUCUGAAUUUAGUUUCUGCAAAACGACAUCAUCCAUCACGCUAAAAUAAUGUUGUUAAUUUGAAUUUUAUUGAGUUUAAAUUUUGUUUGUAUUUAACGUGAAAUUGUGUUUUGGUUUUAUAGUCCUAAAAGAACCAUAAGCAUGAGUUGUCAGUUUAUUCUGAG